rnacentral:rRNA from 1 species
GAUGAACGCUAGCGAUAGGCCUAACACAUGCAAGUCGAGAGGCAGCAUAGAGUAGCAAUACUUUGAUGGCGACCGGCGCACGGGUGAGUAACACGUAUGCAACCUACCUACAUCAGGAGAAUAACCCGGAGAAAUUCGGACUAAUACCGCAUAAUACAGGGAUGCCGCAUGGCAAUAUUUGUUAAAGAUUUAUCGGAUGUAGAAGGGCAUGCGUUCCAUUAGCUUGUUGGUGAGGUAACGGCUCACCAAGGCAACGAUGGAUAGGGGAACUGAGAGGUUUGUCCCCCACACUGGAACGGAGACACGGACCAGACUCCUACGGGAGGCAGCAGUGAGGAAUAUUGGUCAAUGGACGAGAGUCUGAACCAGCCAAAUCGCGUGAAGGAAGACUGCCCUACGGGUUGUAAACUUCUUUUGUACAGGAAUAAAAGACAUUACGUGUAAUGUAUUGCACGUACUGUACGAAUAAGCAUCGGCUAACUCCGUGCCAGCCGCCGCAGUAA